rnacentral:rRNA from 1 species
GGCGCACGGUGGAUGCCUUGGCACUAGAAGCCGAUGAAGGACGUUACUAACGACGAUAUGCUUUGGGGAGCUGUAAGUAAGCUUUGAUCCAGAGAUUUCCGAAUGGGGAAACCCAGCAUGAGUUAUGUCAUGUUAUCGAUAUGUGAAUACAUAGCAUAUCAGAAGGCACACCCGGAGAACUGAAACAUCUUAGUACCCGGAGGAAGAGAAAGAAAAUUCGAUUCCCUUAGUAGCGGCGAGCGAAACGGGAAGAGCCCAAACCAACAAGCUUGCUUGUUGGGGUUGUAGGACACUCUAUACGGAGUUACAAAGGACGACAUUAGACGAAUCAUCUGGAAAGAUGAAUCAAAGAAGGUAAUAAUCCUGUAGUCGAAAAUGUUGUCUCUCUUGAGUGGAUCCUGAGUACGACGGAGCACGUGAAAUUCCGUCGGAAUCUGGGAGGACCAUCUCCUAAGGCUAAAUACUCUCUAGUGACCGAUAGUGAACCAGUACCGUGAGGGAAAGGUGAAAAGCACCCCGGAAGGGGAGUGAAAUAGAACCUGAAACCGUGUGCUUACAAGUAGUCAGAGCCCGUUAAUGGGUGAUGGCGUGCCUUUUGUAGAAUGAACCGGCGAGUUACGAUUUGAUGCAAGGUUAAGCAGUAAAUGUGGAGCCGUAGCGAAAGCGAGUCUGAAUAGGGCGUUUAGUAUUUGGUCGUAGACCCGAAACCAGGUGAUCUACCCUUGGUCAGGUUGAAGUUCAGGUAACACUGAAUGGAGGACCGAACCGACUUACGUUGAAAAGUGAGCGGAUGAACUGAGGGUAGCGGAGAAAUUCCAAUCGAACCUGGAGAUAGCUGGUUCUCUCCGAAAUAGCUUUAGGGCUAGCCUCAAGUGAUGAUUAUUGGAGGUAGAGCACUGUUUGGACGAGGGGCCCCUCUCGGGUUACCGAAUUCAGACAAACUCCGAAUGCCAAUUAAUUUAACUUGGGAGUCAGAACAUGGGUGAUAAGGUCCGUGUUCGAAAGGGAAACAGCCCAGACCACCAGCUAAGGUCCCAAAAUAUAUGUUAAGUGGAAAAGGAUGUGGCGUUGCCCAGACAACUAGGAUGUUGGCUUAGAAGCAGCCAUCAUUUAAAGAGUGCGUAAUAGCUCACUAGUCGAGUGACACUGCGCCGAAAAUGUACCGGGGCUAAACAUAUUACCGAAGCUGUGGAUUGUCCUUUGGACAAUGGUAGGAGAGCGUUCUAAGGGCGUUGAAGCAUGAUCGUAAGGACAUGUGGAGCGCUUAGAAGUGAGAAUGCCGGUGUGAGUAGCGAAAGACGGGUGAGAAUCCCGUCCACCGAUUGACUAAGGUUUCCAGAGGAAGGCUCGUCCGCUCUGGGUUAGUCGGGUCCUAAGCUGAGGCCGACAGGCGUAGGCGAUGGAUAACAGGUUGAUAUUCCUGUACCACCUAUA